AAGAGAAGCAUUCUCCCUUUUCUCCCUUCUCUGACCAAGUGGGUAAGAACCUAGGGUGGCUCUUCAGUCCCAGUACUCACAAACAGGUAGGGUGUGUGAGAUGGAAACACCUUAGGAAUACUAUCGGUGAGAAGUGCAGGCGGGCCUGACUCCGGUGGGUUUGGGGUUCAUUUCUGGUUUUUGGCUGCCAUGGAUAAUCCAUCCAGUUGACCUGCUUUGUUCACCUCAUUAAUGGGUGUCUGCCUCAUUGGGGUGGAGGGGACUGUGCUAGUCUUUGUGAUAAUUGCCUAGUGAUAGCAAAUAGCCAUGAUGAGGUGUGAAGAGAGCAGAGACUGUGGGAGCAACAGCGCAAGAGCUGUGGCUGCUGGGAGGUGCUCUGAGAAACACAGGAAGUGAGGUGAGGCGUCACCAGCAGCCCACAAAGAUCUUCCUGGCUGUCCUAGACAGGGCCAAGCAGCAAAUCCCCGGUGGCCUUGGUAAGUGCUUCCCCCAUCUUCUAUCCUGGGUCAGUCCCCAAGCCUCUCCCUCCAUGCCCUGGGGUCUGGGAGGGUUAGUCCCUGCCUGAUUAGGCCAUUGAUAACUUGGCUGUAGCCAGGUUAGUCAGCUUGGGCCCACUCAGUGAAAGAAGCCUACUCUCAAAGCCUGAACAGACAGCUCCUCACCUCAGAAGACUCUUCACCCUGAUUUUGCUCACCCUGAACUCCUGGGUGAGACCCUAAUAAGCUCUGCUAAGGGCAACUCCAGGGAGGGCAGGAACCCUGGGAAGGGAGGAGUAGGGUGAGAGUACGUGGCCCUCAUAGCAGCCCCUCCUGUUCAUUGACCCCUAACUACUUAGCUUCUGUAGUGAGUAGUCUAGGAACAUUGCCUGACACAGGGGUCACUCCCUGGUCAUUGGUGGCCGGAGGUAAGGUCUGUGGUCUGUGGCUCAAAGUCAGAGUGAUGUCAGAGAUUCCCCAGGUAAUGGGGCUUGAGCUGUAGUGAUACAGCCUUGUUCAGUUGAGGUCAUAGCUGCCCUGACCAUGUUCCUCCAUCUUCAUCUCCAUCUCUGAUAACUAACGGGGUAGGCAGAGCACUUCUUACCAGGAACCCUAGUUAGAGGGAAAGGUGGGUUCCCCUAGGGCAUGGCAAAAAUGCAAGGCUUGGGGGUUUCCGGUGUGCUGAGUCAACCAGGGAGAAGGAACCCACUAGUGGGCAAGAUCUGCAAGUAGGCUGCAGGUGUACACUGGUCUUGCAGUCAGCCCCCAGUGCUCAUCUCUUCUGUCCCCAGGACGCCCUUCCCUGCUUCACAGGAUGAGGCCACCAGUGCCUUCAGCCCCACUAGCUCUCUGGGUCCUGGGCUGCUUCUCCCUGCUCCUUUGGCUAUGGGCACUGUGCACAGCCUGCCACAGGAAGAGAGCUCAGAGGCAGCAAACUGGGCUGCAGGGCAGUUUAGUACCGUUGGAAACGCCACUGCUGAGACAGACCCACCUCUGCUCCCUCAGCAAGUCUGACACCAGACUGCAUGAGCUGCACCGAGGCCCACGUUCCAGCAUAGCCCCACGGCCUGCUAGCAUGGAUCUCCUGCAUCCACACUGGCUAGAGAUGUCCAGGGGCAGUACCAGGUCUCAGGUACCCAACUCUGCCUUCCCACCACGGCAGCUGCCCAGGGCCCCUCCUGCUGCUCCUGCAACUGCACCUUCUACUAGCCCCGAGGCUACUUACUCCAAUGUGGGGCUGGCUGCAAUUCCCAGGGCCAGCCUGGCUGCUAGCCCUGUGGUGUGGGCUGGAACACAGCUGACCAUUAGUUGCACCAGACUUGGUCCUGGGGCCGAAUAUGCCUGCAUCCAGAAGCACAAAGGGACAGAGCAGAGCUGCCAAGAAUUGCAGCAGAAGGCUAAGGUGAUCCCAGCUACUCAGAUGGACAUCUUGUACUCUAGGGUCUGCAAGCCUAAAAGAAGAGACCCAAGACCUGUCACAGACCAGCCGAACCUUCAGGAUGGGAGAACAAUUCUGCCCUUUGGGAGUGAUGUGGAAUAUGAGGCCAUCAAUCUCAGGGGCCAGGAUAUGAAGCAAGGGCCCUUAGAAAAUGUGUAUGAAAGCAUCAAGGAGAUGGGCCCCUGAACAGCUGAGCCCUCACAUCCUGUCUGUUAACAUGAGUUAGGAAGAGUGCCAGGGCUUCUGCUUCAGGAUGGUUUGAUUGCAGAUCCUUCUGUGUCCUUCCACCUCCACAGCUGACAGCACAAAUAUCAGGACCCUUCUAUGAGGUGGUGGCCUAGUUGGCUUGGAGUUCUCAGACCAUGAACCUCAGGAGCUUUGAAAACCAAGGCUGGAGCCUCAGCGCAGCUCCCAAAGCCUUCUGUCCACAUCCCAAUGCCAGUAAAGAGGUGAAGUGGUGGUUGAUACCCCAAGUGUGUGUGUGCGUGUGUGACCCAGUGUGUGCUGAAGUGGUAGAUGCCAGCACAUAAGUCAGUCUUAAGAGGCCUCUGUGGAAAGAGUCCCAACCUGACUGACUAGGAAUCUCUGGGGCCCUAGCCUCCACCUCAACACUUGCCAGCCCUAUACUGCUGACUGGCUAUGCAGCAGGGGCUGACUAUUCAACCCCUGGGGGUCUGCCUGUGCUUUUGAGCCCAAUCUCCUUAACUGCAGCCAAAGCCUUGCUGUUCCACCCUCCUAGGCCUAGCUCUUGGCCCAUGGCUGUGUUGGCUGGGAGGGCUGAGCCAUUGCUGUCUUUGCCUACUAAGUGGUCCUUCAGAACGCUGCUCAGCACCAUAGUCUGAAGGAGCCAUUAUGGAAGAAAGCAUGUGCUGUGGAGAACCCCUGUCCUGUGAGUCCUGGAUUUUCAGCUCUGCAACCUGGGCUGGGGGUGGAGCCGGGCCUCCUACAUGAUGUCCUCACACAAGUCCAGGCUUGUACAUAUAGGCUGGGCAGCCUCAUCUCUAGAAUACCCCCCAGAAAAAAAACGGCUGGAAAAAGUCAUGGCUGCUGCAUUAUAAGCCUGUCUACCAGCCCCCUCUGUCUGGGGGUCCCAACUGUCACCUUCAGUCCAGGUGAGACUCAGAAACCUAUGUUCGAGUAUGGGCAAGGUUCAAAACUUCUAGAGUUUUUUGUUUUGUUUUUGUUUUUGUUAUUUUCCAGGACAAUGAAGCCAGCCUUUUGGACUCUCUAAAAGAUACCUAGGUCCUGACUGCCCCUCACUGAGGCCAAAACUGUAACUCCACUUGGCUGGCCAGGCUGGUUCAUGGCCAUGCCAAGCAUCCCUACUGUCUGCUGGAGAGGCUUUUCUCUAAGUCUCUGAGGCCAAAUUCUCCUAGUAGCCCCUAUUCCUCAAGGCUACCUGAACAGGUGGCAACUCAUAAUCAGACACUUGGAGAGCGCUAGCGGGCAGCAAUUUCAGCAAAGCAGCUUGAGCCUUCCUAGCUCCCACGUGGAGUUUCCCUGGAAGGAAGCCAUGGUUCAUCCUCUAGACAGCUACAGCAGCAACAGUGGAGACUAGGGCUAAGACCUGACCAGCAGCCAGUCUUCUCCAUCCACUCCAUCACCCUGCUGCCCCCUGAAGCAGUCCACCUUCUGUUUGGGGAGGCCACCCUGAGAAAAAGCAAGGAAGCCCCAGGUUGGUGCCAAAAAGUGCCAGAAAGUAUAUGGCAUGGGACCUGUGGUGCUCAGCUUGUUGCUGGAAGAAAGCCUGCUAGCAGUUUCUGAACUGAGCCAAUCUGUGAUGCUACUCUACUGCCUGGCCUUCUUCUCACUCCUAGCCUGAAUCUACAGCAAACCUGUGGUGGGAUGUGACUCCUGGAGGUGGAGGGGUGACUGAAUACUCAAAGCACCUUGGAAGAAACCAAAAGCCAAACUGCUUGUUGUCUUUUGGCUUCAGGGGCAGUUUGCCUCCCUGUCUAUCACUUACCUACUUACCUUGCUAGAGCCAGUUUUAGAUGCAUUUGAGAAGGGUCAAGGAGAGGAGUCUCAUGCUCACAUUUAGUGAUUCCAGGACCGUGAGGCUGACAUUUUACCAUGUUAAUAAAGCACAGGGGUCUUGUGUCUUGGCCAUAGGCGUUGAGGAGAAAAAUUAAAAAUUGUGGGGAUUGUU